CCCACGGGUAGUUUACAUGA
rnacentral:siRNA from 1 species